ACACUGGACAAUUCAAGUCGAUUGGGGAUUUGAAACCGGAUACUUGAGAUUAAUGAAACAAAAUUUUGUUUUGAAAAUGUGGCAAAUACUUUUGACGUUAAUAUCGAUUGGCUUUGUUAGCGCAUCGGAAUCGGACUAUGACUGUCCGGGAUUUUCAAACUAUCGAAAUAAAGUUGAUUUGAUUAAUGAACUCGACGGAGACUAUUUGAUCGUGUAUACUACCUGUAGCUUCAUCCUGAAUUGCGAAAGAAUAAGAUGGACAGCUGGACCGAACAAUACCCGCACCGCUGAAAUCAAAGACUCAGAUGGCUGUUGCAGGAGAAUCGACAAUUUUGACAGCUC